CAAGAUCGAGUUGCAAAGUCACGAGAAACUCCUACGAAAACCCUAAACAAUUAGAUCUGAAACGAAACAGAAAAUUAAAAGAUUAGAUUUUUGAAUUUUCAGAUCUGAAAUAAAAUCCCCAAAUCAGCAAAGAAUCAAAUUGAGAAUAGAAAUAAGUGUUAGGGUUCUUGAAACCCUCAAGGAGAUUGUGAUUCUGCCCAAUUGAACACCAAGAUAGUUUUCCCCAAAUUUCGACAAUCUAAUUUCACCCAAAAAGAGUAUGGAAAAACCCUAGAAAUUGGGGAUUUUUGGGCUGAUUCCUUAAGAUAGA
rnacentral:lncRNA from 1 species